UAAGGGGGAAUAUUUCUUCGGCCAAUUGACGGAAAGUUCUGACGAGCACGCCCGCGUGAGUGAGGAGUUCUUCGAUCGUUAAAACUCUGGUUGUUUAGAGGAAAGAAACAUUGUGUAGAGUGGAAAAUUACACCAAGUGACGGUAUUCUAACCAGAAAGGGACGGCUAACUACGUGGCCAGCAGCCGCGGUAAUACGUAGGUCCCGAGCGUUGUCCGGAUUUAUUGGGCGUAAAGCGAGCGCAGGGUUGUUUAAUAAGUCUGAUGUAAAAGGCAGUGGCUCAACCAUUGUGUGCAUUGGAAACUGUUAGACUUGAGUGCAGUAGAGGAGAGUGGAAUUCCAUGUGUAGCGGUGAAAUGCGUAGAUAUAUGGAGGAACACCGGUGGCGAAAGCGGCUCUCUGGACUGUAACUGACACUGAGGCUCGAAAGCGUGGGUAGCAAACAGGAUUAGAUACCCUGGUAGUCCACGCCGUAAACGAUGAGUGCUAGUUGUUUGGGGCUAUCCAGCCCUAAGUGACGCAGCAAACGCAUUAAGCACUCCGCCUGGGGAGUACGACCGCAAGGUUGAAACUCAAAGGAAUUGACGGGGGCCCGCACAAGCGGUGGAGCAUGUGGUUUAAUUCGAAGCAACGCGAAGAACCUUACCAGGUCUUGACAUACCAGUGCUAUUCUUAGAGAUAAGAAGUUACUUCGGUACACUGGAUACAGGUGGUGCAUGGUUGUCGUCAGCUCGUGUCGUGAGAUGAUGGGUUAAGUCCCGCAACGAGCGCAACCCCUAUUGUUAGUUGCCAUCAUUAAGUUGGGCACUCUAGCGAGACUGCCGGUAAUAAACCGGAGGAAGGUGGGGAUGACGUCAAAUCAUCAUGCCCCUUAUGACCUGGGCUACACACGUGCUACAAUGGUUGGUACAACGAGUCGCAAGCUAGUGAUAGCAAGCUAAUCUCUUAAAGCCAAUCUCAGUUCGGAUUGUAGGCUGCAACUCGCCUACAUGAAGUCGGAAUCGCUAGUAAUCGCGGAUCAGCACGCCGCGGUGAAUACGUUCCCGGGCCUUGUACACACCGCCCGUCACACCACGAGAGUUUGUAAUACCCAAAGCCGGUGAGCUAACCUUUUAGGAGGCAGCCGUCUAAGGUAGGAUAGAUGAUUGGGGUGAAGUCGUAACAAGGUAGCC
rnacentral:rRNA from 1 species